rnacentral:rRNA from 1 species
GACGAACGCUGGCGGCGUGCUUAACACAUGCAAGUCGAGCGGUAAGGCCCUUUCGGGGGUACACGAGCGGCGAACGGGUGAGUAACACGUGGGUGACCUGCCCUCAGCUCUGGGAUAAGCCUGGGAAACUGGGUCUAAUACUGGAUAUGACUCCACGGUGCAUGUCGUGGGGUGGAAAGCCUUGUGCGGCUGAGGAUGGGCCCGCGGCCUAUCAGCUUGUUGGUGGGGUGAUGGCCUACCAAGGCGACGACGGGUAGCCGGCCUGAGAGGGCGACCGGCCACACUGGGACUGAGACACGGCCCAGACUCCUACGGGAGGCGGCAGUGGGGAAUCUUGCGCAAGUGGGCGAAAGCCCUGACGCAGCGACGCCGCGUGAGGGAUGACGGCCU